AUCCUGCUGGAAGAAGAACGCGACACAUUUAGCAAUUCUACGCCGACAGAUGGUUCGCAACCAUAGCGAGCGGUGGUGCGGGAGAGUUUGCGAAACUCGUGCAAAGAAAAGAGGGAAAACAAAAGGGGAAAGAGCAACGACGUCUAACUCCUCGCACCCAUCGCCUACUGCGCGACGCACGCUCGCUGCAACUUUGCCAAAUUCUGUUUGCCUCGUGUGGGGUGGGAGGUGGAGGAAGCAAAGAAAAUCACUUCCUGUCUGCUACUAUUUUUCCACCUAUCCAUACGCUUUUCUCUCUUUCGCUAUCUCAACCUACAGCUACACUGGAGAGAUUGUGUGUCUCCAAACCAUUUCCGAAGCUGAUGCAAGUAGCGGUGGUGGUGUGGGGUGUUCCCUGGCUCUGCCAAGUGCAUCAAUUCCAGUAGCCCUGUAUGGAUGGAGUGUGGCGAUGAGGAGGUGGUUUGCCCUAAGGCAGAAAAGAUGGAAAUACAUACACAGACGCACACACACACAACUUCAUCUGGAGCAAAUGAAAACCCACAAGCGAAAGACUGGAUGGCUGCUUUGAUGAAGCCGCUUCAAUGAAUGCCACUGAAACUGGAAAUGGAACUGGAUGUUUGCCUCACAUUUAACUUCCAUUCAAACAUUUUCUUAUCAAAAAACAAAAUAAAACAGCUAAAAUUCCUCUGU